CGCCGAUUAGUAAACAAAGGACUCGGAGCCUCCACCAUCGAGAAAUUGAGGCUCACGUUCUGCGUGUCCUGCGCGGCCAAUCGACGACCUUGCUAGGCUGGUCGUAUCCAAGCCGGUCCUGCAUGUCGUAGAAUUGAAUGGCGGUGUGGGCGACGAGCCUGAUACUGCGAUCCCUGGGGCCUUUGGUGGUGCAAACCUUGCUGUGGCUGUCCUUCCGGCCGGUGGCCCUUAGAAUGUGGCCUUGAGCCUCCACGAUUUCGCUAGCGGUGGAGGAAGAAGCAGUCCUUAUCCCCAAACCCAAUCGAGAAGCAGCGGAGGAUGACGUUGUUGUGCGGUGGUGGAGGUUGUUGUGGUCAAGUCAUUGGCGACGGCG
rnacentral:lncRNA from 1 species